rfam:Fusarium fujikuroi IMI 58289 draft genome, chromosome FFTJ_chr03
UCGUCUUUUUCCAUCGCUCGGUCAGCUCAGCUCGCCAGCUGAUCUUGAGCCGGAUACCUCACCUCGGUGGUGGUACAAGACAAGAGCAAUAUUGCAACGUUUUUUGAGUACGGAGUCUUUAGUGUUUUCACCAAAUGGAGUCUUCCGUAAUUUGACUGUUGUUACAUUC